AUUUAAACAUUUAAGAAAAACCAAAGACGUAACAUAAUGUCAGGGAUUGUUUUGGGUUUUGUUGGUGUUCAUGUCUUUUGCUUUGUAUUCAUGCAUUUAGUUUAGUUUCCUGGUUUGUCAUGUGUUCCUUGCCCCUCAUGUGAUUGUCAUGUGCUACCCUUGUCUGUGUGUUAUGUUCUGAUUGGUUCUUUAGUUCAUGUUUCAUGUUCUCAUUGAUUUUCUUAGUCAUUUGUCUUGUUUCACAUUGGUUGGUUAUUGUCAAGUGACCCUCAUUGUGUUAUAUAAAUAGCCCUCAUGUUGCCUUUGUUCUUUGUCUAGUUUUGUAGUGUGUAACCUUCUGUCGGUGAGUUGUGUUUCUGUUUAUGAUAAGUUUCUGGUCAAGUCUGUCAUGUCAAGUCAAGUCAAGGAGGAAAAAUGGCGGCAGAUGUGUUGGGUGGUUUGUCAGGCUCCACUCCAAUACUUUCUACUAACUCAUUUUUUUCAAUAUUUACUGGUUUAAGAACAAAACAAAGACACCGGUUAAAUAAUAAUUAUAAUGAUGAAGGAAAUGUUUGCGUAUUUCUGCUUUGCUGUUGGCUUCUGUUGUUGCCAUUUGGACAACACCUAAGCGCAAACAAACAGUUGUCCCAGGCUGACAACCAUCAGUCAGUAAAUACGAAUGGAUUACCGAGAUUAAACUUCUUUGGACAUGGAUACUUUGUCAUCUACUCGAUCACCAAACAAUCUGAUCACCCACGUCGUGGCACGCCGAGUAAACAAAACAUUGCCAUUUGCUCGAACAUCAAACGAAUUGAACUCACCCAUCGCGGCACGCUGAGAAAGCGUGAUUACCAGAGAGGAUGCAAUUGGCGUGAUUUCGGUGUUCUCUUGACUUUGAUUUUGCUGUCUGGGGACGUACAAUUGAAUCCAGGCCCAUUUGCUGUUGGCCUUUCCCCGGAGGGUGCAGCGGCUGACCUCCGGACGGACGGACGUCUUCCCCGAGAACCUUACCUGCUGUCCAACGCCGCGGCCUCCCCGUUCUGCGAGCUCUGAUCCCCGGAUCUCCCCUGAGCCCGGUCAAGCCUCCGCCUCGCCAGCCUGCUGGUUGUUCCAGCCACAGAGGUCUCCUGUGUUACUUAUACCCAGCCUGCGGGUCUGCCUUGGUUUUCACCUUUUGUUCUCCUUAUUUGGAUUUUCCUGUGGCUUUCCUUUGUUUGAUUAAAGACUGUCAUUUUGCCCUCGCAUUUGAGUCCUCUCCCUUCAAUACCCAUCACAGAUAGUUACUAACAGACCACAGAGAAUCAUUAGAACUUAUAAUUUACUAACAGGGCUCUCUGAUCACAAUAUGACCAUGGUUGUACGGAAACUCACUAAACAGUGUUUACCCAAAUUUACGAACGAAAGUAAACAAGGGAACCUGGGUAUCCCCAAAAUUAAGUUGACACAAGUUAAAAAUGAUUUAGAUCAUUUAGAUUGGAAUAAUGUUUUACAAUCAAAUGAUUUAGAAAAUUGUUGUAACUCUCUGAUGAAAAACCUCACAAAUCUGAUUGGGAAAUAUAGUAAGACAUUCAAAGGCACGCAACGAAAAGCCUCCUUACCAUGGCUGAAUAAUGACACUCGUCAGCUAAUGAAAAAGAGAGACUAUGCAUUGAAAAAAGCACUGCUCUCCAAAACAAAUACCGAUUUUCUCAUCUUUAAAGGAUUGAGAAAUGCAGUAGUUAGAGAAUUGCGUAAAGCAAAGACAGCCUAUUUUAUGCAAUUGAUUGAGGAUUCGGAAGGAAAUAGUGCAUCCCUUUGGAAGCACCUCAAUAGCCUUACUAAACUUAAGCCUAGUCAACAAAAAACAAUAGCUGAGUUGGAAGUGAAUGGAGUUAUCAGCACUAACAAUUCAGCUAUUGCAAAUGAACUUAAUAAUUUUUUUAUUCAGUCUGUUGAGGAGCUUGCUAAGACUUUUG
ensembl:lncRNA